GGUGUUGCAUGGCUGUCGUCAGCUCGUGUCGUGAGAUGUUGGGUUAAGUCCCGCAACGAGCGCAACCCUCAUCCUUAGUUACCAUCAGGUAAUGCUGGGGACUUUAAGGAAACUGCCAGUGAUAAACUGGAGGAAGGUGGGGAUGAUGUCAAGUCAUCAUGGCCCUUAUGGAGUGGGCUACACACGUGCUACAAUGGUGGCUACAAUGGGCUGCAAAGUCGCGAGGCUAAGCUAAUCCCUUAAAAGCCAUCUCAGUUCGGAUUGUACUCUGCAACUCGAGUGCAUGAAGUUGGAAUUGCUAGUAAUCGUGGAUCAGCACGCCACGGUGAAUACGUUCCCGGGUCUUGUACACAC
rnacentral:rRNA from 1 species